AACGCGAAGAACCUUACCAAAUCUUGACAUCCUUCUGACCGGUCCGUAACGGGAUCUUUCCUUCGGGACAGAAGAGACAGGUGGUGCAUGGUUGUCGUCAGCUCGUGUCGUGAGAUGUUGGGUUAAGUCCCGCAACGAGCGCAACCCUUAUCCCCAGUAGCCAGCAGGUAAAGCUGGGCACUCUGAGGAGACUGCCAGGGAGAACCUGGAGGAAGGCGGGGAUGACGUCAAAUCAUCAUGCCCCUUAUGAUUUGGGCUACACACGUGCUACAAUGGCGUGAACAGAGGGAAGCAGAGCCGCGAGGCCGAGCGAAUCUCAAAAAACGCGUCCCAGUUCGGACUGUAGUCUGCAACCCGACUGCACGAAGCUGGAAUCGCUAGUAAUCGCGG
rnacentral:rRNA from 1 species